rnacentral:rRNA from 1 species
AUUACUGGGCGUAAAGCGUGCGUAGGCGGUUCGUUAAGUCAGAUGUGAAAGCCCUGGGCUCAACCUGGGAACUGCAUUUGAAACUGGCGAACUCGAGUUGAGUAGAGGGGAGUGGAAUUUCAGGUGUAGCGGUGAAAUGCGUAGAUAUCUGAAGGAACACCAGUGGCGAAGGCGACUCCCUGGACUCAAACUGACGCUGAGGUACGAAAGCGUGGGUAGCAAACAGGAUUAGAUACCCUGGUAGUCCACGCCGUAAACGAUGUCAACUAGCCGUUGGUCCUAUUUACAGGAUUAGUGGCGCAGCUAACGUAUUAAGUUGACCGCCUGGGGAGUACGGCCGCAAGGUUAAAACUCAAAUGAAUUGACGGGGGCCCGCACAAGCGGUGGAGCAUGUGGUUCAAUUCGACGCAACGCGAAGAACCUUACCUGGGCUUGACAUCCGCUGACCGUCCUGGAAACAGGAUCUUCCCCGCAAGGGGACGGCGAGACAGGUGCUGCAUGGCUGUCGUCAGCUCGUGUCGUGAGAUGUUGGGUUAAGUCCCGCAACGAGCGCAACCCUCAUCCUUAGUUGCCAUCAUUGAGUUGGGCACUCUAAGGAAACUGCCCCGGUUAACGGGGAGGAAGGUGGGGAUGACGUCAAGUCCUCAUGGCCUUUAUGUCCAGGGCUACACACGUGCUACAAUGGGCGGUACAAAGGGUUGCAAUACCGUAAGGUGGAGCUAAUCCCAAAAAGCCGCUCUCAGUUCAGAUUAGAGUCUGCAACUCGACUUUAUGAAGGCGGAAUCGCUAGU